GUUCAGCACUAAGUCACUUUGUCUUUAUGGCAAAUGUGAGAUGCAGUGUAUGGAAUGUCAAAUUUCUAGUAUGAGAAAUUAACGAUUUAAGUCCUUCUUAAAUGAGGCCAUUUACCCACAGAGGGUGCCAGGCCCGUAUAACGUUAAUGAUUACUAGAUGGCAUUUCCAAAGAGUCGUGUUGCUUGAUAGUGCAGCACUAAGUGGGUGGUAAACUCCAUCUAAAACUAAAUAUAACCAUGAGACCGAUAGUAAACAAGUACCGUGAGGGAAAGUUGAAAAGAACUCUGAAUAGAGAGUUAAAUAGUACGUGAAACUGCUUAGAGGUUAAGCCCGAUGAACCUGAAUAUCCAUUAUAGAAAAUUCAUCAUUAUGAUUUUAAUAUUAAUAAUAUUAUAAUAAUGGUGUGCAUUUUUUCUAUAAAGGACAUUGUAAUCUAUUAACAUAAAUAUAUUUAUCAUAAGAUCAAUGAUGCGUAAGUUUAUUCAAAUUAUUUUGCUUGCAAUUUAACAUAGAAUAAAUGCUCUUGAUUUGAUAAAGUGUUGAUAGAUUUAUUGUAUAUAGUGCUUAAAUAUUUAUAUUUUAUAAUAGCAUAUUAAUCAUUGAUUUUUAUGUUUAUUAUAUGCACUUAUAUGAUUAACAAUGCGAAAGAUUCAGGAUACCUUCGGGACCCGUCUUGAAACACGGACCAAGGAGUCUAACAUAUUUGCAAGUUAUUGGGUAUUAAAACCUAAUAGCGAAAUUAACAUAACUUUAAUGGGAUUAGUUUUUAGAUUAUUUAUAGUCUAUUAAUUCAAUCCCGGGGCGUUCUAUAUAGUUAUGUAUAAUAAUAUUUAUAUUAUUUAUACCUCUAACUAGAGCGUACCUUGAGCAUAUAUGCUGUGACCCGAAAGAUGGUGAACUAUACUUGAUCAGGUUGAAGUCAGGGGAAACCCUGAUGGAAGACCGAAACAGUUCUGACGUGCAAAUCGAUUGUCAGAAUUGAGUAUAGGGGCGAAAGACCAAUCGA
rnacentral:rRNA from 1 species